GUAUUUCCGCGGGCGCUGAGCACUAGAGAGAGCGUCUUGUGGCUGCGGCCUGCCCCUCAGCCUCCUCCGCGCGGUUACCCCUGUACCCGCCGCCAUCCGUCCUGGCGCUCCGGAUGAGUCAAUGAGGGGCAGGGCCCGAGGAGUGGUCUUCCCAAGAACCCCUGGUGGCCUCCCAAGGCCGGUGCUGUGUACCUCCUCCCCGACAAAAGGGGAAACUGAGGCCCCGAGGGGAGUGGGAAGAGCCGGCUGGACGUCAGGCCCAGCCGCUGGUGCAGUGGUCCGUCCCCUCUGCCGGGGUGGGCCCCUCGGGUUUCGCGUGUCCUCGGGAAAGAGACUGGCGGAUAGUCCACUGUGUGCAGAGGCAUGGGAGUUGUCAUGUUGGGAACAUGCUAGACCUCAGUAUCCUUGAGGGAUGCUGCCUUGGGUCUGGAAACUGUUAGAGGAAACCCCAAGAGGUGCAGGCACUGAGCCUCUCAGGACAAUGACCUGGGGUCCCAGCUCCCCUGGAGGGGCCUCCUCAUGAUUGUUUGGGGGUUGAUCACAGACCAAGAGUGACGAGUGAUGUCACCCUGUGACUCAUGGCUGGACCUUCUUGCCCCUAUUGUCUCAGCACAACAUUAUUCGACUUUUCCCUCAGCGUGGGUGGGCAGAGGAAAAGCCCUGUGGCUCUGGGGACUUGGGAUCCAGAGUUGAAGACCCUUCAGCUGGCUCUGCCCUGCCAGUGCCACAGAGUGCCAUGGCCCAGGAAGACAGGUUUUCUUCCAUCUAGGCCAGGCCAUCCAGUGGCCAUCCUCCGUGUCCUCCCGCCUCCUCCUGGUGUGACUUCUGAAAACCAAGAAUUUGUUCCUGUUGACUUUUUCUGUGCUAUGGACCAUUGUCCUCUCACCCACUCAAUAAAUCUUGAAACAUGC
rnacentral:lncRNA from 1 species